rnacentral:rRNA from 1 species
GGAGCAAAACUCAAAAACCGGUACCCAGUUCGGACUGCAGGCUGAAACUCGCCUGCACGAAGUUGGAGUUGCUAGUAAUCGCAGAUCAGAAUGCUGCGGUGAAUGCGUUCCCGGGUCUUGUACACACCGCCCGUCACACCAUGGAAGUUGGGGGUGCCCAAAGUCGGUUAGAAAAUAGACUGCCUAAGGCAAAACCAAUGACUGGGGUGAAGUCGUAACAAGGUAUC